UCCCCAUCCUUCGCUUCAUCCGUCUCUCAGCCCUCCGUGGAUCUAUCAGUCAAAACGCAAUGGUGCUUCCACAGUGGAAUGCAAACGCGAACGCGGUUCUUUACGUGACAGAUGGGGAAGCGCAAGUACAGAUCGUAAACGACAACGGUGACAGAGUGUU